UUAUGACGAACUGGCUUUGCUUUUGGAUAAUUAACAACUUCAGGUUGUGCUUAUAUGUAGAAAUUUUCACCAUAAACAUAAUCAUUGUUUCAAAUAUGUGUAUGCUUGAAUGGAUUGCUGCAAAAAUAUAUACUAGAGUGGAUAUGAUUAAUGAUGCAAGUCCUAGUUAUAUAUUUUCUCAAAUGGCCUUGCUCGACUACAGUUGGGGUUUACUAAUAACUAUCAUUGAUUGUUCUAUUUUGUUUGUUUUUAGCUCCUCUUUCUUGCUUUCUCAUUGUCAUUUUGGUGGUUGUUGAUUCUUUGUUGACAGAAUGACUUCAACUUUGAGGACAGGGAUUGGAUGACUGUCCAUCCGAAAGAAUUUCCAACAGGGUCACAAUUGUGGGAGUAUAUGGAGCACAUUGGCUUUGUACUUGUUUAGUUUGCAUGCCCCUCUGAGUUUUGGAGGGUUGUCUAUGGUUGCCCAUGUUUGCAUAUAUUUAGUUUCAAAAAGGCCACAUAUGGACUUAAUAAGAAAGAAAGUCCAUCUAUGAAUUUCCAAAUGAUUUGUGAAUUAGAAUUGGUUGAAACCAUCAUUGUGGGAUGGGAUUCUUCAUGCUAAUGUCUGAAGUAUAUGUAUGAGUAUGAUUACUAAUGGCUGCAUUGUAGGAACCAUGCAAACAACAUUUGGAGUUG